ACACGAUCGUGUCAGAGCAGAUCAGGCGGACUCGCGCGCUUCCAGAGAAACCUCGUUCAUCACCGUUGCCAGCAUUAGAGCUGCUCAUCAAAGCCAAGUUGGCACCAGACGGACUGUUGGACUGACCACAGAAGAACUGUUUUUCCCCCGCUGAAGCAGAGGAGGAGAGGACCAAACAAAGCAUCUUCUGAUGUGAGAGACGACAGGCUCUGAGGACAGAAAACAGGAAGCACAGAUUAUUCGAAGAAGUUCACUGGAACCAAAAACUCCCAAGAUGUGGCAGCCCAACGAAAGUCAGCACUCCUACCCUACAGGAAAUCAGAUAAUAUGACAACUCCGUUAGUGUUCAUGUUAUACUCAAGGCUGUGACUGUACAAAAAGAGU